UUACCGCUACGGUUAAAUGGAAAUCAAGUAGUAAAUACACGCGAUUGUAUAAGCCAUCGUAAAAUUACCGCGAGCUGACUUCAAAAUCAUAAGUGGUUUGCCAAAAACACAAUUAAGAGUAAUUUGAUGAUAACAUACCGCACGGUUUAAUCAUGUCAGCUUAAAAUUGUUCCGGGGCCACUGAGGAGUGAACUUAGGAGACCGACGACCAUCGCAGCUGCUCAAUGAACUUCGUAAUCUGACUGACAACCGUGUCAGUGAUGAGUAAUUAAAGUCCCCCUGGGUGCAGAGUCUGCCACAACAUGUCCGCGCUGUUUUACUAACAGAUUUGCAAGCACGCUUUAUCAAAACCGAGCAGCUAAUUGCCUACAUAGGCAUAUUGCAUUGCAGCGCGCCGAAAGUAGUAGUGGU